rnacentral:rRNA from 1 species
CCUUACCAGCCCUAGACAUCCCGGUAGCGGGAACGAGAGAUCGAUCCCUUCAGUUCGGCUGGACUGGAGACAGGUGCUGCAUGGCUGUCGUCAGCUCGUGUCGUGAGAUGUUGGGUUAAGUCCCGCAACGAGCGCAACCCUCGCCCUUAGUUGCCAUCAUUUAGUUGGGCACUCUAAGGGGACUGCCGGUGAUAAGCCGCGAGGAAGGUGGGGAUGACGUCAAGUCCUCAUGGCCCUUACGGGCUGGGCUACACACGUGCUACAAUGGCGGUGACAAUGGGAUGCAAUGGAGUAAUCAUGCGCAAAUCUCAAAAAGCCGUCUCAGUUCGGAUUGUGCUCUGCAACUCGAGCACAUGAAGUCGGAAUCGCUAGUAGUCGCAGAUCAGCACGCUGCGGUGAAUACGUUCCCGGGCCUUGUACACACCGCCCGUCACACCAUGGGAGUUGGCUUUACCUGAAGGCGGUGCGCCAACCGCAAGGAGGCAGCCGACCACGGUAGGGUCAGCGACUGGGGUGAAGUCGUAACAAGGUAGCCGUAGGGGAACCUGCGGCUGGAUCACCUCCUU